GAUGAAGAACGCAGCGAACUGCGAUAAGUAAUGUGAAUUGCAGAAUUCAGUGAAUCAUCGAGUCUUUGAACGCACAUUGCGCCCCCUGGCAUUCCGGGGGGCAUGCCUGUCCGAGCGUCAUUGCUGCCCUUCAAGCCCGGCUUGCGUGUUGGGUCGUCGUCCCCCCCGGGGGACGGGCCCGAAAGGCAGCGGCGGCACCGCGUCCGGUCCUCGAGCGUAUGGGGCUUUGUCACCCGCUCGAUUAGGGCCGGCCGGGCGCCAGCCGGCGUCUCCAACCUUCUAUUUUACCAGGUUGACCUCGGAUCAGGUAGGGAUACCCGCUGAACUUAAGCAUAUCAAUAAGCGGAGGA
rnacentral:misc_RNA from 1 species